GACGAACGCUGGCGGCGUGCUUAACACAUGCAAGUCGAACGGAAAGGCCCUGCUUUUGUGGGGUGCUCGAGUGGCGAACGGGUGAGUAACACGUGAGUAACCUGCCCUUGACUUUGGGAUAACUUCAGGAAACUGGGGCUAAUACCGGAUAGGAGCUCCUGCUGCAUGGUGGGGGUUGGAAAGUUUCGGCGGUUGGGGAUGGACUCGCGGCUUAUCAGCUUGUUGGUGGGGUAGUGGCUUACCAAGGCUUUGACGGGUAGCCGGCCUGAGAGGGUGACCGGCCACAUUGGGACUGAGAUACGGCCCAGACUCCUACGGGAGGCAGCAGUGGGGAAUAUUGCACAAUGGGCGGAAGCCUGAUGCAGCAACGCCGCGUGCGGGAUGACGGCCCUCGGGUUGUAAACCGCUUUCGCCUGUGACGAAGCGUGAGUGACGGUAAUGGGUAAAGAAGCACCGGCUAACUACGUGCCAGCAGCCGCGGUGAUACGUAGGGUGCGAGCGUUGUCCGGAUUUAUUGGGCGUAAAGGGCUCGUAGGUGGUUGAUCGCGUCGGAAGUGUAAUCUUGGGGCUUAACCCUGAGCGUGCUUUCGAUACGGGUUGACUUGAGGAAGGUAGGGGAGAAUGGAAUUCCUGGUGGAGCGGUGGAAUGCGCAGAUAUCAGGAGGAACACCAGUGGCGAAGGCGGUUCUCUGGGCCUUUCCUGACGCUGAGGAGCGAAAGCGUGGGGAGCGAACAGGCUUAGAUACCCUGGUAGUCCACGCUGUAAACGGUGGGUACUAGGUGUGGGGUCCAUUCCACGGGUUCCGUGCCGUAGCUAACGCUUUAAGUACCCCGCCUGGGGAGUACGGCCGCAAGGCUAAAACUCAAAGGAACUGACGGGGCCCCGCACAAGCGGCGGAGCAUGCGGAUUAAUUCGAUGCAACGCGUAGAACCUUACCUGGGUUUGACAUGGAUCGGGAGUGCUCAGAGAUGGGUGUGCCUCUUUUGGGGUCGGUUCACAGGUGGUGCAUGGCUGUCGUCAGCUCGUGUCGUGAGAUGUUGGGUUAAGUCCCGCAACGAGCGCAACCCUUGUUCACUGUUGCCAGCACGUUAUGGUGGGGACUCAGUGGAGACCGCCGGGGUCAACUCGGAGGAAGGUGGGGAUGACGUCAAGUCAUCAUGCCCCUUAUGUCCAGGGCUUCACGCAUGCUUCAAUGGCUGGUACAGAGAGUGGCGAGCCUGUGAGGGUGAGCGAAUCUCGGAAAGCCGGUCUCAGUUCGGAUUGGGGUCUGCAACUCGACCUCAUGAAGUCGGAGUCGCUAGUAAUCGCAGAUCAGCAACGCUGCGGUGAAUACGUUCCCGGG
rnacentral:rRNA from 1 species